AGAGUUUGAUCCUGGCUCAGAUUGAACGCUGGCGGCAGGCCUAACACAUGCAAGUCGAGCGGUAGAGAGAAGCUUGCUUCUCUUGAGAGCGGCGGACGGGUGAGUAAUGCCUAGGAAUCUGCCUGGUAGUGGGGGAUAACGUUCGGAAACGGACGCUAAUACCGCAUACGUCCUACGGGAGAAAGCAGGGGACCUUCGGGCCUUGCGCUAUCAGAUGAGCCUAGGUCGGAUUAGCUAGUUGGUGAGGUAAUGGCUCACCAAGGCGACGAUCCGUAACUGGUCUGAGAGGAUGAUCAGUCACACUGGAACUGAGACACGGUCCAGACUCCUACGGGAGGCAGCAGUGGGGAAUAUUGGACAAUGGGCGAAAGCCUGAUCCAGCCAUGCCGCGUGUGUGAAGAAGGUCUUCGGAUUGUAAAGCACUUUAAGUUGGGAGGAAGGGUUGUAGAUUAAUACUCUGCAAUUUUGACGUUACCGACAGAAUAAGCACCGGCUAACUCUGUGCCAGCAGCCGCGGUAAUACAGAGGGUGCAAGCGUUAAUCGGAAUUACUGGGCGUAAAGCGCGCGUAGGUGGUUUGUUAAGUUGGAUGUGAAAUCCCCGGGCUCAACCUGGGAACUGCAUUCAAAACUGACUGACUAGAGUAUGGUAGAGGGUGGUGGAAUUUCCUGUGUAGCGGUGAAAUGCGUAGAUAUAGGAAGGACACCAGUGGCGAAGGCGACCACCUGGACUAAUACUGACACUGAGGUGCGAAAGCGUGGGGAGCAAACAGGAUUAGAUACCCUGGUAGUCCACGCCGUAAACGAUGUCAACUAGCCGUUGGAAGCCUUGAGCUUUUAGUGGCGCAGCUAACGCAUUAAGUUGACCGCCUGGGGAGUACGGCCGCAAGGUUAAAACUCAAAUGAAUUGACGGGGGCCCGCACAGGCGGUGGAGCAUGUGGUUUAAUUCGAAGCAACGCGAAGAACCUUACCAGGCCUUGACAUCCAAUGAACUUUCUAGAGAUAGAUUGGUGCCUUCGGGAACAUUGAGACAGGUGCUGCAUGGCUGUCGUCAGCUCGUGUCGUGAGAUGUUGGGUUAAGUCCCGUAACGAGCGCAACCCUUGUCCUUAGUUACCAGCACGUCAUGGUGGGCACUCUAAGGAGACUGCCGGUGACAAACCGGAGGAAGGUGGGGAUGACGUCAAGUCAUCAUGGCCCUUACGGCCUGGGCUACACACGUGCUACAAUGGUCGGUACAGAGGGUUGCCAAGCCGCGAGAUGGAGCUAAUCCCAUAAAACCGAUCGUAGUCCGGAUCGCAGUCUGCAACUCGACUGCGUGAAGUCGGAAUCGCUAGUAAUCGCGAAUCAGAAUGUCGCGGUGAAUACGUUCCCGGGCCUUGUACACACCGCCCGUCACACCAUGGGAGUGGGUUGCACCAGAAGUAGCUAGUCUAACCUUCGGGAGGACGGUUACCACGGUGUGAUUCAUGACUGGGGUGAAGUCGUAACAAGGUAACCGUA
rnacentral:rRNA from 1 species